ensembl:lncRNA
GUGGGGUUGUAGAUUCCUAGUGUCCCUUAUGGCUCUAAUAUGAUAAUGGCAGUAGGGUGGUGGAUGUCUAGUGUCCAUUAUGGCUCUAAUAUGAUAAUGGCAGUAGGGUGGUGGAUGUCUAGUGUCCCUUAUGGCUCUAAUCUGACAGUGGUAGUAGGGUGGUAGAUUCCUAGUGUCCCUUAUGGCUCUAAUCUGAUAGUGGUAGUGGGGGGUGGCAGAUUCCUAGUGUCCCUUAUGGCUCUAAUCUGAUAGUGGUAGUGGGGUGGUAGAUUCCUAGUGUCCCUUAUGGCUCUAAUAUGAUAAUGGUAGUAGGGUGGUGGAUGUCUAGUGUCCCUUAUGGCUCUAAUAUGAUAAUGGUAGUAGGGUGGUGGAUGUCUAGUGUCCCUUAUGGCUCUAAUCUGAUAGUGGUAGUAGGGUGGUAGAUGUCUAGUGUCCCUUAUGGCUCUAAUCUGAUAGUGGUAGUGGGGUGGUAGAUUCCUAGGGUCCCUUAUGGCUCUAAUAGGAUAGUGGUAGUGCGGGGUGGUAGAUUCCUAGUGUACCUUAUGGCUCUAAUCUGAUAGUGGUAGUGGGGUGGUAGAUUCCUAGUGUCCCUUAUGGCUCUAAUCUGAUAGUGGUAGUGGGGUGGUAGAUCACGAGUGUCCCCUAUGGCUCUAAUAUGAUAGUGGAUGUAGGGUGGUGGAUGUCUAGUGUCCCUUAUGGCUCUAAUAUGAUAAUGGUAGUGGGGUGGUAGAUUCU